GAUGAACGCUGGCGGCGUGCCUAAUACAUGCAAGUCGAGCGAACAGACGAGGAGCUUGCUCCUCUGACGUUAGCGGCGGACGGGUGAGUAACACGUGGAUAACCUACCUAUAAGACGGGGAUAACUUCGGGAAACCGGAGCUAAUACCGGAUAAUAUAUUGAACCGCAUGGUUCAAUAGUGAAAGACGGUUUUGCUGUCACGUAUAGAUGGAUCCGCGCCGCAUUAGCUAGUUGGUAAGGUAACGGCUUACCAAGGCGACGAUGCGUAGCCGACCUGAGAGGGUGAUCGGCCACACUGGAACUGAGACACGGUCCAGACUCCUACGGGAGGCAGCAGUAGGGAAUCUUCCGCAAUGGGCGAAAGCCUGACGGAGCAACGCCGCGUGAGUGAUGAAGGUCUUCGGAUCGUAAAACUCUGUUAUUAGGGAAGAACAACUGUGUAAGUAACUAUGCACGUCUUGACGGUACCUACUCAGAAAGCCACGGCUAACUACGUG
rnacentral:rRNA from 1 species